rnacentral:rRNA from 1 species
AAUCGCCUAGGGGGGCAGCAGUGGGGAAUAUUGCACAAUGGGGGGAACCCUGAUGCAGCGACGCCGCGUGGGUGAGGGAGUAUUUCGGUAUGUAAAGCCCUAUCAGCAGGGAAGAACAAUGACGGUACCUGACUAAGAAGCACCGGCUAAAUACGUGCCAGCAGCCGCGGUAAUACGUAUGGUGCAAGCGUUAUCCGGAUUUACUGGGUGUAAAGGGAGCGCAGGCGGCGCGUUAAGCCUGGUGUGAAAGCCCGCGGCCCAACCGCGGGACUGCAUUGGGAACUGGCGCGCUGGAGUGCCGGCGG